GAAGCACUGCAUCCUCGAUGUCUCGGCCAAUGCCGUGCGGCGGCUGCAGGCGGCCCACCUGCACCCCAUCGCCAUCUUCAUCCGUCCCCGCUCCCUGGAGAAUGUGCUAGAGAUCAAUAAGCGGAUCACAGAGGAGCAAGCCCGGAAAGCCUUCGACAGAGCCACGAAGCUGGAGCAGGAGUUCACAGAGUGCUUCUCAGCCAUCGUAGAGGGCGACAGCUUUGAAGAGAUCUAUCACAAAGUGAAACGUGUCAUUGAAGACCUCUCAGGCCCCUACAUCUGGGUCCCAGCCCGAGAGAGACUCUGAUUCCUGCCCUGGCUUGGCCUGGACUCACCCUGCCUCCACCACAUGGGCCCUUGGUGUGGACUGAAUAGCCCAAGUCCUUUGUACCCCAGCCUCCCUUCCCACCCUUCUUAUUUAUUUCCGUUUGCAUGAGUGGAAGGUCUAACUGUGGCUUUUUUUUUUUUCCUGGGAUUUUAUUUUAUUUUAUUUCAUUUUAUUUUUUUGGGAAAAGGGGAGGGAUGGGUCUAGGGAGUGGGGAAUAUGGGAGGGGGGUGGGGGGGCAAGGGGUCAGGGGUUGGGUGUCCGGGAGCCAGGGGAGGACAGGAAAUGCUGCCGCCUUCUGCAAUUUAUUUAUUUUUUCUUUUGAGAGAGUGAAAGGAAGAGACAGACACUUG
rnacentral:lncRNA from 1 species